rnacentral:rRNA from 1 species
GAUGAACGCUGGCGGCGUGCUUAACACAUGCAAGUCGAGCGAAAAUAAUUGAGAGCUUGCUUUUGAUUAUUUUAGCGGCGGACGGGUGAGUAACGUGUGGGUAACCUGCCUUUUACUGUGGAAUAAUCGUUGGAAACGACGACUAAUACCGCAUACGAUUUUCUGAAGGCAUCUUCGGAAAAAGAAAGGAUUUAUUCGGUAAAAGAUGGGCCCGCAUCUGAUUAGCUAGUUGGUGAGAUAAUAGCCCACCAAGGCAACGAUCAGUAGCCGACCUGAGAGGGUGACCGGCCACAUUGGGACUGAGACACGGCCCAA